rnacentral:rRNA from 1 species
AGCCACCUUCGGGUGGUGGACAGUGGCAGACGGGUGAGUAACGCGUGGGAACGUGCCUUUCGGUUCGGAAUAACCCAGGGAAACUUGGGCUAAUACCGGAUACGCCCUUCGGGGGAAAGAUUCAUUGCCGAAAGAUUGGCCCGCGUCGGAUUAGCUAGUUGGUGGGGUAAUGGCUCACCAAGGCGACGAUCCGUAGCUGGUCUGAGAGGAUGACCAGCCACACUGGGACUGAGACACGGCCCAGACUCCUACGGGAGGCAGCAGUGGGGAAUAUUGGACAAUGGGCGCAAGCCUGAUCCAGCCAUGCCGCGUGGGUGAAGAAGGCCUUAGGG